rnacentral:snRNA from 1 species
GUGCUCGCUUCAGCAGCACAUAUACUAAAAUUGGAACGAUACAGAGAUUAGCAUGGGCCCUGCACAAGGAUGAUGUGCAAAUUCGUGAAGCGUUCCAUAUUUAA